GCUCAGUUGCUAAAGCACUCCACUGCAAAUGGAGAGGUCCCUGGUUCGAUACCAGG
rnacentral:tRNA from 1 species